CCUGAGACAUUUGUCUAUUUGAUUUUCUCUUAUAGUCUGGGAUCCAUGGAAGGGGCAGAAGUUUCUGAUACAUCAGCUGAACGAAAAAGAAAUCCAGACACUUUCCCUGGAGAUUAUGGAAAUAGACCGAUAUCAGGGCAGUUUCCAGCACUGGAAAAGAUCUCUGAACAUACUUUGAGUGCUACAUUAAAGACCAAUAUUAAGAUGGAAGAACAA